rnacentral:rRNA from 1 species
CCUACGGGUGGCUGCAGUGGGGGAUAUUGGACAAUGGGGGAAACCCUGAUCCAGCGACGCCGCGUGAGUGAAGAAGUCUUUCGGUAUGAAAAGCUCUAUCAGCAGGGAAGAAAGAAAUGACGGUACCUGAGUAAGAAGCCCCGGGUAACUACGUGACAGCCGCCGCGAUAAUACGUAGGGGGCAAGCGUUGUCCGUAAUUACUGGGUGUAAAUGGAGCGUAGACGGUAAGGGAAGGCUGGUAUGAAAGGCGGGGGGCCAACCCCCGGACUGCUCGGGAUACUGGGUAACUGGAGUGCGGGAGAGGCAGGGGGAAUGCCUGGUGUAGCGGUGAAAUGCGUAGAUAUUAGGAGGAACACCGGUGGCGAAGGCGGCCUACUGGACUGUAACUGACGUUGAGGAUCGAAAGCGUGGGGAGCAAACAGGAUUAGAUACCCUAGUAGUC